GAUGAACGCUGGCGGCGUGCCUAAUACAUGCAAGUCGAGCGAACGGACGAGAAGCUUGCUUUUCUGAUGUUAGCGGCGGACGGGUGAGUAACACGUGGAUAACCUACCUAUAAGACUGGGAUAACUUCGGGAAACCGGAGCUAAUACCGGAUAAUAUUUUGAACCGCAUGGUUCAAAAGUGAAAGACGGUCUUGCUGUCACUUAUAGAUGGAUCCGCGCUGCAUUAGCUAGUUGGUAAGGUAACGGCUUACCAAGGCAACGAUGCAUAGCCGACCUGAGAGGGUGAUCGGCCACACUGGAACUGAGACACGGUCCAGACUCCUACGGGAGGCAGCAGUAGGGAAUCUUCCGCAAUGGGCGAAAGCCUGACGGAGCAACGCCGCGUGAGUGAUGAAGGUCUUCGGAUCGUAAAACUCUGUUAUUAGGGAAGAACAUAUGUGUAAGUAACUGUGCACAUCUUGACGGUACCUAAUCAGAAAGCCACGGCUAACUACGUGCCAGCAGCCGCGGUAAUACGUAGGUGGCAAGCGUUAUCCGGAAUUAUUGGGCGUAAAGCGCGCGUAGGCGGUUUUUUAAGUCUGAUGUGAAAGCCCACGGCUCAACCGUGGAGGGUCAUUGGAAACUGGAAAACUUGAGUGCAGAAGAGGAGAGUGGAAUUCCAUGUGUAGCGGUGAAAUGCGCAGAGAUGUGGAGGAACACCAGUGGCGAAGGCGACUUUCUGGUCUGUAACUGACGCUGAUGUGCGAAAGCGUGGGGAUCAAACAGGAUUAGAUACCCUGGUAGUCCACGCCGUAAACGAUGAGUGCUAAGUGUUAGGGGGUUUCCGCCCCUUAGUGCUGCAGCUAACGCAUUAAGCACUCCGCCUGGGGAGUACGACCGCAAGGUUGAAACUCAAAGGAAUUGACGGGGGCCCGCACAAGCGGUGGAGCAUGUGGUUUAAUUCGAAGCAACGCGAAGAACCUUACCAAAUCUUGACAUCCUUUGACAACUCUAGAGAUAGAGCCUUCCCCUUCGGGGGACAAAGUGACAGGUGGUGCAUGGUUGUCGUCAGCUCGUGUCGUGAGAUGUUGGGUUAAGUCCCGCAACGAGCGCAACCCUUAAGCUUAGUUGCCAUCAUUAAGUUGGGCACUCUAAGUUGACUGCCGGUGACAAACCGGAGGAAGGUGGGGAUGACGUCAAAUCAUCAUGCCCCUUAUGAUUUGGGCUACACACGUGCUACAAUGGACAAUACAAAGGGCAGCGAAACCGCGAGGUCAAGCAAAUCCCAUAAAGUUGUUCUCAGUUCGGAUUGUAGUCUGCAACUCGACUACAUGAAGCUGGAAUCGCUAGUAAUCGUAGAUCAGCAUGCUACGGUGAAUACGUUCCCGGGUCU
rnacentral:rRNA from 1 species